rnacentral:rRNA from 1 species
AUUGAACGCUGGCGGCAGGCCUAACACAUGCAAGUCGAGCGGAAACGAGUUAUCUGAACCUUCGGGGRACGAUAACGGCGUCGAGCGGCGGACGGGUGAGUAAUGCCUAGGAAAUUGCCCUGAUGUGGGGGAUAACCAUUGGAAACGAUGGCUAAUACCGCAUGAUGCCUACGGGCCAAAGAGGGGGACCUUCGGGCCUCUCGCGUCAGGAUAUGCCUAGGUGGGAUUAGCUAGUUGGUGAGGUAAGGGCUCACCAAGGCGACGAUCCCUAGCUGGUCUGAGAGGAUGAUCAGCCACACUGGAACUGAGACACGGUCCAGACUCCUACGGGAGGCAGCAGUGGGGAAUAUUGCACAAUGGGCGCAAGCCUGAUGCAGCCAUGCCGCGUGUGUGAAGAAGGCCUUCGGGUUGUAAAGCACUUUCAGUCGUGAGGAAGGUAGUGUAGUUAAUAGCUGCAUUAUUUGACGUUAGCGACAGAAGAAGCACCGGCUAACUCCGUGCCAGCAGCCGCGGUAAUACGGAGGGUGCGAGCGUUAAUCGGAAUUACUGGGCGUAAAGCGCAUGCAGGUGGUUUGUUAAGUCAGAUGUGAAAGCCCGGGGCUCAACCUCGGAAUAGCAUUUGAAACUGGCAGACUAGAGUACUGUAGAGGGGGGUAGAAUUUCAGGUGUAGCGGUGAAAUGCGUAGAGAUCUGAAGGAAUACCGGUGGCGAAGGCGGCCCCCUGGACAGAUACUGACACUCAGAUGCGAAAGCGUGGGGAGCAAACAGGAUUAGAUACCCUGGUAGUCCACGCCGUAAACGAUGUCUACUUGGAGGUUGUGGCCUUGAGCCGUGGCUUUCGGAGCUAACGCGUUAAGUAGACCGCCUGGGGAGUACGGUCGCAAGAUUAAAACUCAAAUGAAUUGACGGGGGCCCGCACAAGCGGUGGAGCAUGUGGUUUAAUUCGAUGCAACGCGAAGAACCUUACCUACUCUUGACAUCCAGAGAACUUUCCAGAGAUGGAUUGGUGCCUUCGGGAACUCUGAGACAGGUGCUGCAUGGCUGUCGUCAGCUCGUGUUGUGAAAUGUUGGGUUAAGUCCCGCAACGAGCGCAACCCUUAUCCUUGUUUGCCAGCGAGUAAUGUCGGGAACUCCAGGGAGACUGCCGGUGAUAAACCGGAGGAAGGUGGGGACGACGUCAAGUCAUCAUGGCCCUUACGAGUAGGGCUACACACGUGCUACAAUGGCGCAUACAGAGGGCGGCCAACUUGCGAAAGUGAGCGAAUCCCAAAAAGUGCGUCGUAGUCCGGAUUGGAGUCUGCAACUCGACUCCAUGAAGUCGGAAUCGCUAGUAAUCGUGGAUCAGAAUGCCACGGUGAAUACGUUCCCGGGCCUUGUACACACCGCCCGUCACACCAUGGGAGUGGGCUGCAAAAGAAGUAGGUAGUUUAACCUUCGGGGGGACGCUUACCACUUUGUGGUUCAUGACUGGGGUG